rnacentral:rRNA from 1 species
AACCUCUGCAAUGCGCGAAAGCGUGACAGGGGGAUUCCACGUGCCCACGUUUGUGGGCUUUUCCCAUGUCUAAAACGCUUGGGGAAUAAGGGCUGGGUAAGACCCGUGCCAGCCGCCGCGGUAAUACGGGCAGCUCUAGUGGUGUUCGCGUAUAUUGGGCCUAAAGCGUUCGUAGCUGGUUUGGAAAGUCUCUGGUGAAAUCUUGCGGCUUAAUCGUGAGAAUUGCCAGGGAAACUUCCAGACUCGGAGCCGGGAGGGGUCAGAGGUAUUCCUGGGGUAGGGGUAAAAUCCUGUAAUCCUUGGAGGACCAUCGGUGGCGAAGGCGUCUGACUGGAACGGGCUCGACAGUGAGGAACGAAAGCUGGGGGAGCGACGCGGAUUAGAUACCCGCUUAGUCCCAGCCGUAAAUGAUGCCGGUUUGGUGUGGCGCAACCUACGAGGUUGUGCUGCGCCGUAGGGAAGCUGUAAACCGGCCGCCUGGGAGUACGUCGCAAGAC